rnacentral:misc_RNA from 1 species
GAUGAAGAACGUAGCGAAAUGCGAUAAGUAAUGUGAAUUGCAGAAUUCAGUGAAUCAUCGAAUCUUUGAACGCACCUUGCGCUCCUUGGUAUUCCGAGGAGCAUGCCUGUUUGAGAGUCAGUUUAUUCUCAGCCCCUCCAGCUUCUGUGUGAGCUGGCUUGGUGGUUUGGAUGUGGAGGUCUGCAGGUGUCCCCCCUUAUUGUGGGGUGUCUGCUCCUCUGAAAUGCAUUAGCAGAACUGUUUGCAAUCUGUUGACUGGUGUGAUAAUUAUCUACGCCAAUGAAGAUUGCUCUCUGGAUGUUCAGCUUCAAACCAUUUUUCACUGUGUGUGAUAUAUAUGAACCUUUGACCUCAAAUCAGGUAGGACUACCCGCUGAACUUAAGCAUAUCAAUAAGCGGAGGA